rnacentral:rRNA from 1 species
UAGGGAAUCUUCCACAAUGGACGAAAGUACUGAUGGAGCAACGCCGCGUGGGUGAAGAAGGGUUUCGGCUCGUAAAACUCUGUUGUUAAAGAAGAACAUAUCUGAGAGUAACUGUUCAGGUAUUGACGGUAUUUAACCAGAAAGCCACGGCUAACUACGUGCCAC